GAGAGACAGGCCGCGUGAGAGGGUGGCACACUGAUCCUCUCUGGCCAUACAGGGCUCCCGGGGGCCACGAGCAGAGGUGUGGGGCCUGGUGGCCCUGGUCACCCUGAAAAAGGCAAAUCGACACUACAUCUUCCUCAGUCUUUGCAGGAACCGGGCCUGGUGAUGGUCACCAGGGCUCCUGAUGGAUAUGAUGACAUAGAGGCUGCCCUCGAAAUGCCAGCGAGGUGGUUAAAAGCACUGGCCAGAAUGAGGAAUGCAGAGAUGUGAGAACAGGCUCAUAGCCCAUCAGACUGUAUUAAGCUAAGCAAUACAGGUGUCCACUUGCCAGCACAGUCGCCGUCGCCAAGGCCACAUCACCCACAGGGGGUGGAGGAAGAAGCCAUGCGGAUUCAAGGUGCUGAACUUCAACCAUAGACGCUCCUUAUAGCAUCAGACGAGGUUUCCUUUUCACUUAAAAGAAAGGUGCCGUGUGAUGUCUCCCAGAUGUGUGCCUUGGAAGCUGUGACACAAGGCAACUGUGUGGUUGCCUCACCUGGGCUGCUGAAGCAGCGUGAACCCCAAUUGCUGCUUUAUUCUGUACGUGCACUGAUGGUCUGCUUUGUUUUGUGUCUCUUUGUUUAAUAAUUACGUUUGAGGUUGGAGGAGUAGGAAGGGGGAGGCAAGAAUUUGAUUUUGUGUGAGUGUGUGUGUCAUAAUGCUAAACUAAGAAAUAAACCCAGUUCAACUACAUAGCAGAUUUAGUCAAUAGCUGGCAGUUAUAAUUAGUACAUGCAAUGUAUUACUGCUGAGGAAUAUUGAGAAGGCAAAAAAAAAAAAAAAAAAUCUGAAUGCAUUUAAGUGGAAAAUAUCUUCCAAACCUGCAGGCAAAUACCCUGGUGCUGAGU